rnacentral:rRNA from 1 species
AGCAGCCGCGGUAAUUCCAGCUCCAAUAGCGUAUAUUAAAGUUGUUGCAGUUAAAAAGCUCGUAGUUGAAUUUUGGGUCUGGCCGGGCGGUCCACCUUCCGGUGAGCACUGUUCCGACGCCGGGCCUAUCCUUCUGGUGAGACGGCAUGCCCUUCGCUGGGUGUGUCGGGGAACCAGGACCAUUACCUUGAAAAAUUAGAGUGUUCAAAGCAGGCAUUUGCUCGAAUACAUUAGCAUGGAAUAAUGAAAUAGGACGCGUGGUACUAUUUUGUUGGUUUCUAGGACCGCCGUAAUGAUUAAUAGGGAUAGUUGGGGGCAUUAGUAUUCAAUUGUCAGAGGUGAAAUUCUUGGAUUUAUUGAAGACUAACUUCUGCGAAAGCAUUUGCCAAGGAUGUUUUCAUUAAUCAAGAACGAAAGUUAGGGGAUCGAAGACGAUCAGAUACCGUCGUA